rnacentral:rRNA from 1 species
CCUCCCCCUUUUUUGUAGGAGCAGCACACCGAAGGGCCACUCAAACCAAGGACCAAGCAAUAGACGGGUGGCAGAGGGUGGAGGCAGGUGGCGGUCGGAGGUAAAGGUGCCGGUCGCGGUGGUCCACUCAAGUGCCCCUGACUUCCGGACGUGACGUUAGAGGGUCGGGUCAUAAGUAGAGCAGGAGACUUUUAAGGUCGACAACGGACGAAGACGGCGGCGUCCUUUUGCCCCGCGCCCGCCCGUGGUACCUCGAGACGACGAGCCCGCAGCAUUCGCCGCCGCCGCCGCCGCACCGGCCACGUCCCUGUGGAGCCCGGGUCUUCAGGUCCUGAAGAGGGCCCAAGGACUGGCGGGGCGGGUCCUGCGCCGGCUCGUCGGCGCGGCCGACGGCGGUCGAGCGCCGCGGCGGGACGCCGCUUGCGCACCCGGCCGGGCCGCUGCGCCCCUUGCAGCAGGUGUACGAGUCCAGUCGGCGGCGGCGGCUGGGCCGCCUCCGGGAGCUCGACAAGUCCAGGCACCGCGCCGUCGGGUCCCAGCGGGUGUGGUGCCUCAGCACGUUGAUGUACGAGCUCGACUACGCGCGCGUGCCGGCCCAGCCCCUGCACCGGGUCCACAAGCUGGAUUACGUCUCCGUCUAGCAGUUCCGGUUACACCCGUGGAAGACGUGGCAGAAGCCCCGCCAGCCGCAGCUUCCCCCGGAGGCCUCGCGCGGCCACCGGGACGGCCACUACUUCCUCCGGCCCUAACGGAACUUGCGGAUGUGGAUGUUACCGGAGUAGAUAAAGGAGCAGUUCAGACCGAAGCUGUCCCUCCGGUACCUCCACAUGUUCCGGUACCGCCGCCUACCACAGCACGGCUGACAGUCCUGGAUGAGGCACGACUACGACCGCAAGCCCUUCUCCUCCCUGCGACUCUGACAACAACCCGACAACCCACUCUACCUCCGAGCACCUCACUCCGGUUUACACAUGUCGAUGUGGUAGACGUAGGCCCAAGAACCUGUUCGACCCUCUAAUCUCCUCCGCAUGUCUUAAGAAGCGUUUUACCUCCUUCUCCCCACGUUCGGGCUACAGCAGUGGUUAUGACAGGAAUAUGUCUAAGAGACACUACGGCCAGCUGAACGACUACGGUUCCUACAUAAAACCUUCUACUUUCGCUCACUAGUUUUCGGACUAUCUCACUGGAUGUAAUGAGAGGAUCUGUUCACGCCGCUGUUAUCACUGAGCGCCAGUCAUUCACUUUAUACCUUACGUAACUUUCGACUGCCCAUAUUGCUGUUACAGCAACGAAUAUGACGUCGACAGCUACGUAACACGGUUCAACCCUCCCAGCUACUUCGGAGUCCACAAAAGCUACUCUACUUUGUUUUCCCAUAUCAUGGAGUCGUCAUAAGUAUGUUGAGGAACUAUAGACCUAAAGAAUUUCGACUAUCCAAAUUGGCACGAGAUCUCGACAAGUUGGUAUACUUAUAAGUACCAGGAUGAGGUUUACCUAUGUGUGUACAAGACAAGUAUUUAAUGAUACCUUUUAGACCGCUUAGAGACUUUCGUGAAUUUUCCAUACUCGAAUACUUCUCGUUUCCCUAACAAGGGCUACAACAACGACCAUUACGACAAAACAUACCAGAACGAUUUAGACCCGCCGACCCUUACCGUUUUUCCCAGAAGGUACUUAACUUUCGAUACCCCUAAAGAGGUCUAUUAUAGUGGAUGUGAUACUACUAGUUCACAACGUCGUUCCGUAGGUUACGACUACUCCGGUACUUUUAGAAGAGACUUUACUAGCUUUUGUCUACACGAGGACUACAAGAACGUUACUUAAGAAACUAACUAUACGAGAUGUUCCGUCCGUCCCCUUUACUUCGGACCUUUUAGAAGAUACUUGACUUUCUUUACUUGGAACUUGGGUGACUGACAUGAAUGUUGUGUGAAAACCGUCCUAAUCCUUCUCUUCCAUUUCAGUUCCUCCACUACGUUGACGAACUUCCUUACUUGAGAUUAUCGAAAGGUGGAUUAUAUUAUUGCAUGUUAUGACAAGACCUAACAGAGACGUUUUUACCCCUCCACUUGAUACGUGACCCGUACGAAAUGUCAUACUGCUACUUGCCAACGUACGGACUGGAAAGUAGAAUGUUGUGACACUACGUACCAGAACAAUUUCUCCUGUCUAACCUACUCCGUAAGACCUACAAAACAGUCUACUUUUUCCAAGAACGAGGUCUAAUGCGUUGUCACACAUGAUAGGAGGGAUCAAAACACUCCUCACCUAAUUACUUCCUUCGAGACGUAUGACAAUUUCUUAUAUAAGAAGUUGGACUAAGAUUUCACCUAUCUGGAAGCCAGGUGAGUGACUACCUUCCCUAUGACUUCUCCCUACCAUGUCUCUUCAGUUAACUCAAACGGCUUUUGUAUCGUAGUUCACCGUAAGAAUACCUACUAAACAAAAACACGGGUUAUUAAUCCGUGGAAACGUUCUUAUUCCUCCGAGACCGUCGUGUACUUGAACGGUUCUUCAAACUCUUAAAACCACAAAACGAUUUUUAACCCAGUAUAUUACGAGAAUAAACGCCGGAACACCUACUUCUGGACUAACUAUAGCGACUUCUCAACAAGAGACUCUACUUCUCUGAGCCUACACUGGGACUACUCAAAUGAAUGGUAAACUAAGAGCUACGGUACCCCUUCAGCUACGCCUAGCUCCUAUACGACUUUCAGGUUCUUCUCUACGUAUUGUUCCCUAUGUUUAGUUGAAUACAAUGGAUAUUGUGUUAGUAAAGCCCAGAACAUUUUAGUUUUUACAACCUGCUCCGAUAUUUGAAUAUGAUGGUCGACUACUCGCUUCCGAAGAGAGGGUGGGGUACGUGUAUACCAGGAGAAGAACUACCCGACAACUUUCUACCUUUACAUCUUCUACGUCUUCAAGAAAAACUACUCUACCACCUCACACCUACGCUUGGGUUGACGCGGUAGAUGUUGUAAGACGAGUUACCUAUAGCUAAUCGUCCACUGUGUCUCUUUCAAACACUCGAGAAACUCUUAUACCACCUCGUCCCCUAUUUGGGUCUAUAUUUUAGUAUAUGUCAACAGUAGCUGUGGGAGACGUGUCUGCCCGCCAACUUACUACCGGACAGAAUGAAGUUUGUCGACUGUCUAUACCCUGAACUCGGACUGGAGUAGUGGAUAUUGAACGAGUAUGUGCCAGAUCCAUUUAGACCUUCUGAUCUCCUUCGUGAGCGGGAGAUGCUACUGUACCUCUUCUUUCCUUAGCGGGGCUUGGACAUGUGCAUGUUGAGUGACUAGGAGAUGGACCCGUUUCGCCCCUUCCGGCGCCUUCGGCCGUUUUACAUGCUUCUUGACGACCGCUUUCCGACCUUCGGGUUACAAAAGUGUAUGUUGCGGGAAUAGGCCCCCAUGUCACAAAGACCGUCGGGACUUUUGCGGAAACGCCGGAUGCCAGCCUACUAACAACCUCCCACGGCCGGAUUAAGCUCGUGGAUGUACGUUGAAGGUUUAGUUUACAACAUUGACUGUUCAAUCAAUGACACACUUGACGAAAGACAUAUCAGGACAAGAUAUUAACCCCUUUACUAGUUGGCAUCUAUCACUAGUCGUCACUGCGUAGACUCUCAUGAGGAUCUAGCGUAAGACGUGAUUACAUGAGGGAGGCAAGGAUUUACAUUCAGAAACAUCUCUAAAGUAAUAUUUGACGUAUGUCUACAUAUAUCUACGUAAAAUUCAAAUCUAAGUAAGUAAAACGAGGCAUACAUCAGGUAAAUCACGUUAAAAAUGUUUCUGAAUAUAAAUC